GGUAACGAGAGAUGGAUAUCAAUGGUUGUCAAGUAUUCUGAAGUGAAGAAUGUAUUGAGGAUGUGAAGGCUUUUCUAGCCAGUUCCUAUGGCUCAGUCAGGGAUCAGUCAGAGGAUUCUGUCUGUUAGACUCUUUGGAACAGAUGUCAAAGUGGCCUGGUCUUACCCUGUCCAGGACUGAAUGCUGAGCUUGAGUGGGAGCUUCUUGUCAUUUCAAGCAUUUCCAUGAGUCUGUCCUCUGUUCUCUUGUAUCCAAGUGGUUUCUAACAGGAAAGCAGAACAAAAAUUGAAAGUAUGGUGAUUGAUUAUUUAUACCAAUGUUAUUUCAAUCAACUUUGUAUAAUACGAAAUUAACUUUCUGCUAGUAAGAUUUCAUAUGUGAGGAAAUAAUGAAAAUAUUGGGGUUAGGGGAUGAGAAUAUGCAAAUCAAACAUUUUUGAGCACCAAGACCCGUUUUUUGUUUUUGUUUUUUUAACUUAAAUAAUGAAGUGCCAGAAGACCACACCUGCCAUUCAACCUCAACAACCUCCAGGUCCAGCCUCCAGGUGGCCCGUUUCACCAGGGUGUGUGGGACCACACUGUCCUGGGAUGAGAGAGCAGUACCCACGAAUGUUGGUACAGAGUAGAUAUUGCUAGAGACAGUGGGGAGGUAGUGGCACAUGAGGAAGGGAAGAGCUCUCAGGAUGGGAAGAGGGGGCCGCUUCGAGACUCAUUGGGCAUGGCACGAGGCUGCUGGGUGUGGUGUUGGCCUGGGCCCACUGAGUGGGGCAGAUCCAUGCUCUGUGUCCCUCUACCCUCCUCUGUAGCCUGUGCUGGCAGCAGAUCAGGGAAUUGGGGUCAGAAGUGCUCCCAGUAACACAGGCACCAGCCCCCAGUGUGUGCCUAGCCCUUUCCCUACCUGGCCUGACUUAGUGCUUGUCUUGCCUCAGGGCUGAGACCCUACAGUCUCUGAUGAGUGUGUCUGGGGUCCAGAUCCAACCUGCAUGGCCAACAUGCUCAGACCUUCAGCUGGGUCCUAGGCUGCUGCAACCAAACCCUGUCAAUUGGGUGGCCCACAACAGAGGAAGUGUCUUCCGUUGAGCUCCAGAGGCUCAACACAGUAGGUGUUGGGCUGUCCCAGUGCCAUAACCCCUCCCAGGUUUCAAGGGGACUGUCCCCCCAACUCUGUCAGCCCUUGCCCACUCUCCUACUGCUGUCCAUGAUCUGUGGUUCCCAUAUGGGCAUCCCGACCUGGCUCCAACCUCACAUAGGCUGUAUCCCCAAGUCUCCCUGGUCUCUGGGUCCAGACUCCCCUCUUCCUACAAGAAUAUAAGAUAUUAGAUUUGGGCCCAGUUGAUGCUGUGUUCCAUCAUGUGAGCUCUUAGCUUCAUCACUGUACAAAGACUCUUUUUCCACGUAAGUUCACAGGACUUUUGGGUGGCUAAGAAUUUUCAGGGGACACUUUUCUAAUGAGUACACUUUCCUUUCUUCAGAUCUCUCCCCACUGAGCCUUCUUCUCAUCCUUGUCCUAGUUCCUUUAUGGCAAGUUCCCUCCUUAUGGCUGAGAGGACCUAGUGACCCCUGGAUUCACACAUUGUCUUUAAUCACCAACACACUGCAGAAUUCUCCAUGGGACUGCGGUGUUUUGCAUUGGAACCCACCCCCUGACCUCUAAAAGUGGUCUAGACAAUUGGGUUGACUCCCUCCCUCCUGAACCUCUUUGAUGCCCUUUAAAGUAAGUUAUUCUUUUGGAUUCCUUCCACAAGUAGGCAAGUCCUUGGAUCCCCUGCUAGAAAGUCUUCCAGCCUGAAGGUCAGAUGUGUCCAGAUGUUGAGUUGAAGGAUAUCAUCCUAGAAGCCCUCAUCCUGGCUGCAGCGUUUCCUCCCCUCAAUGCAAAGCAAGAAAGUGCAGUUGGCUCUGUACCCAUUCUUCUGCAUCCAUGGUCCUCACCAGCUGGAAAUCCAAACUAUCAGGAAAGGAGUUGUGUCUCUCUGGACAGAUACUUCUCUCCUCAUUGUUUCCUGGAUCUUACAGUGUUACAGAGAAUGACACUGCCCUUUCAUUGUAUUAGGUGUCAGAAGUCAUCUAGAGAUAAUGGAAGUGCUACAGGAAGAAGAUAUACAGCGUUUAGAUGCAAAUACUCUGGCAUUUUUGUAAGAGACGAACCUGUGUGGACUGGUGUUUUGGGCAGACUUUGAACAAAUCUCCCUUGAAUUUCUUGUAACGUUUCUGGUUUCUGGACUUGGGAGUGUUCAGUGUGAGUCAGCCUCAUGGGGAUGUGAUAGGGGGGCAGUCGGAGCUGUUGUGCAGAACCUCAGUGAUGGCUUGUAAGGCCACAUGCAACACUGCAAGCAGGAGCCGAGAAGGGAGCCCUCUCCCCAUGUGUUCAGCUUAACUCUUGUCUUAUCCAAAAUCAUGACUUGUGAAAUGUUGCAGAAAUGGACUCAUGCCAAGAAGUUGGGAUGUUCUGGGGAGCAUGGGCUGUCAUUCUAUUUUGUCUCUGCAUUAUGAUGUGUUAGCGGGUGGGAACUUGAAGAUGUGCUUAGGCCAUGGAUUCUCCUUCCCUGGGAAAGGGCUUCUCAAAGCAGCCCUUGUCCCUGUUUCACCUGCUUCCCCAGGAGGACACAACAAGAACGUUCUUACAAGUUGGCCCCCAGUCUUGGUCUUCCAGCCUCCCAAGUUUGAGAAAUAAAAUCUGUGCUAUGAAUUACCCAGUGUCUUGUAUUCUGCCAUCACAACACAAACUAUGCUAAGAUGAGUCAAUCAGCAGUCUCCCAAGUGUUUACAUUCUGGUAAUUGACACCAAACAUCCGUUUUGUAAUUAAACCAUUUUGGAGUACACAGUUGAGUGGCAUUAACCAUGUUCAUGUUGGUGUAUAGGUGUCGCCACCCUGCAUCUCCAGAACUCACGUGAACAUACUCUUGCCAUCAGUGCUGAAUUCUAGUGCCCUUGAGGCCCAGGAAAAGAACAUUGUACUUUAUCUUUUUAUGAACCUGAUAAUUGAGAAUCUGAGAUAAGUGAAAUCCUACAAAAUUUGCCUUUCUCUGGACACAAUCAUUUUCAAGGGAUGCAGUUCACCCCCACUCGUAAGCAUAUCUGGUCCUCUGCCAACUCUGCGGGUAUUUCAAAUGCACUCUCAGUGACAGUGGUGACUGUGUGCACAUGAGCUGUCUGUCCAGCUCAGAUCCCAGGAUCUAGGGUCUUUGGUUCCACGCAGCCUAUAGGUUGCCUCCUCCUCCAAGUCUCUGCAGGCCAUUGGCACAAAGG
rnacentral:lncRNA from 1 species